AUCCUAUUACAAAAUCUAUUUUUAUGAUUCUAAUGAUUAUCUUUGUUCUCCCCCAAAAUACACAAACUGAAAAAAACAAAACUUCCCAUGAAAGUAAAAUACUUUCUUAACUUUCUUGAUUUGAUUACAGGCUACUCUCUCUUCUAACUGUACUUUAAUCUAUUUUCUCAUGGCUCAGUAAAAUAUGUUACUUUACAUUUUUGCAAGUAUAGUCUCUGAUUAUAGGAUUACUACAUUGUCUAAUUUUAGUAAAAAGGUUGUUAAAUCUCAAACUUAGGCAUGUUUUCAAUGCAAAAAUUCUUUGUCAUAUAAAAAUUCUAUAGGAUUCUUUGGAAAUUCUACAGAAAGUAAAGGACAUGAAUAGCACAGCCCAAUAUAGAAGUUGCUAUGUAGAAACAUUAGGAAAGAGGACUACCAGUGAAGCCUGAAGCAAAGCUUCCUCUGGAAUUCAGGGCUCAGCAACAUUGGAUCUUUUCAUUCCUAAAAUUCUAGUAUACACCUAAUUACAUUAAC
rnacentral:lncRNA from 1 species